GUGAGCGUAGCUCAGUUGGUAGAGCUCCAGAUUGUGGUUCUGGCUGUCGCGGGUUCGAGCCCCGUCGUUCACCCCA
rnacentral:tRNA from 12 species